CCAGGCUUGAACAGCCAGUGACCACACCCGAAAGGGUGCUUCCGCAAGGACACUGGUAGAGGUGCUGCAUGGCUGUCGUCAGCUCGUGUCGUGAGAUGUUGGGUUAAGUCCCGCAACGAGCGCAACCCUUGUCUGCUGUUGCCAUCACGUAUUGGUGGGCACUCUGCAGAGACUGCCGGUGAUAAACCGGAGGAAGGUGGGGAUGACGUCAAGUCAGCAUGGCCUUUAUGUCUGGGGCUACACACGUGCUACAAUGGCAGAUACAAACCGUCGCGAGACCGUAAGGUGGAGCUAAUCGGAGAAAGUCUGUCUCAGUUCGGAUCGUAGGCUGCAACUCGCCUGCGUGAAGUUGGAAUCGCUAGUAAUCGCGGAUCAGCACGCCGCGGUGAAUACGUUCCCGGGCCUUGUACACACCGCCCGUCACAUCACGAAAGCCGGUUGUACUAGAAGUCGCCAUACCAACCCGCAAGGGAGGGAGGCGCCUAAGGUAUGGUCGGUGAUUGGGGUG
rnacentral:rRNA from 1 species